rnacentral:rRNA from 1 species
AGACAGAGGGUGCAAACGUUGUUCGGAAUUACUGGGCGUAAAGCGCGUGUAGGCGGCACUGUAGGUCGGAUGUGAAAUCCCGCGGCUCAACCGUGGAAGUGCAUUCGAAACCGCAGAGCUAGAGUAUCGGAGAGGAAAGUGGAAUGCUUGGUGUAGAGGUGAAAUUCGUAGAUAUCAAGCGGAACACCGGUGGCGAAGGCGGCUUUCUGGACGAUUACUGACGCUGAGACGCGAAAGCGUGGGUAGCAAACAGGAUUAGAUACCCCGGUAGUCC